CGCCCGACCCGCUGCUGCAGAGUCAACCUGGAAGAACUGGUGAGACUCACCUGACAGAGUUAGGUAGAAACUCAUUCGAUAAUGAAUUUAGGUUCCAGUUCAUGGUCCUCGGCUGUGUCACUUUGGGCCUGUGGUGACACAAUACAUCAUGAUGGGGGAACAUGUUGGAGAAGGUCCAUGCUGAAAGAACAGGCAUCCUAAUAAAUCAGGAAAAAGUGUUGCCUUCCAAAAUAUAGACAUUGAAAAUGUCAGUUGCCUUUCUGUAUUUGAGCUUCCAGGAGCAAAACCCAUCUAUGUAGUAAUUAUUUAUGCCACUGAACAUCAGUAGCAGGGGCAGCUUUAUACAGUUGCAGAAAUAAAGUGUUCAUACCCAUAAUUUCCUCUGACAUUAAUGUUGCCUGUUUAUUCACCCCCCUCACCAUUUUGAAAAUACAUCCUUCAGUUUAAUACAGCUUACUGAAUAUCUGUUUAGUCCGCUUGUGGCAGAAAACAAACAGCAA